CUUAUCUUGUUGGGAAAGAACCAUUCCUAGCAAAGUACUUCCUUAUUAUGGUAUUAUUACAGUACGAAGAGACUGCAUUUGACUUCAGAACUAGAUGGAACCUGAACUUGCAGAGAUAUUUCUAUAGCAUACAGCAAAUUGCAGACAAGUGAGCAUACUCGAGUUCAUUAAACUCUGUCUAUCUCCAGUAUGGAUUUUCUAUCACCAUGUGGGAGAUUGGCACUGCUCUUGUGUGUCUGCCUUCCUUUUAAGCUGGAACCAAGGAUCUGCAAAUUAUAUGGGCCCAAAUUCUAUUUUGUUCUAUAAUGGUCCACUAUACUGAAGACAUUAUCUCUCAUUAUUGUAAGGUGCAUUUUCUACUCUUUCUGCUUCAAGUUGCCUUUGAGUCUUUUGUCUUUGUAAAUUAAUUGACUGAAAAUGUUAGAUUGAUCCCUAGGAAACAAAGGGAAUGUUUAUUGUCCAUUCUGAAGGCUCUUACAAAGAUAGUGAUAUUAAGUACUUUCAAUAGCAAAGCUCUAAUUCUCUUUGAAUCAUUAAUGUGCAAAUUGUUUUGCUCUUUGGGUUUGAAUUUCACUCUGAUAGAGUGUCUCAGCUAGAUUCAAAUGCACUGAGUGAUCCCCAGCCUGAGAUUAGCAGGACCUAUCACUUUCUGGGGCUUUAUAAAUAGACAAAAUGCUUCUGGUAGCAGAUUGCUUGCACUAAAUCUAGCAUUUGAGACUUCUUUCAGGAGGCUGACCUUCUUCCAUUCUCCUAUGCCAUCAUAUUUAAUCUAAUAGUGAGUAAAGAAUCAUCACUAGGUAGGAAUGAUAAAAAAAAAUUCACUGCUUACAUAACAGAAUUCUAUAUAUAAAAAUCUUAAAUAAAGAAUUCAAAGUAUACAAGGAGCAGGAAGAGAAUUAGUAUUCAGUAUUAAUUGGUAGAAAAUGCAAAGAGAGUCUUUAACAAAUAUUCGGAGUCAAGUCAUAGGCAGGUGAAUACCAAAGGUGAAUGAGUGCAGAUUUAUACUCAGAAAUGGAGUGAUUAGAAAUGAGCCUCUCUUAAACUGGGGCAUCCCAUUUUUAAAAAAUAUAAGCCUUCAUGGAACCCUCAGCAGUAGCUCUUCUUAAAUAAUAGAUUUGUUGAGUUGGAAGUGGCACUGGAGAUAAUUUAAUUCCUUGCCUAAUAGAGGAUCUGCAAUGUAGCUAUAAUGCUGCUGAUCCAUUGCUGUUCAACCAUAGCUGAAACACCAUCAGCAAAAAAAACACCUGCCACUUCUAAGGCAGCCAUUCUACAAUUGAACAGAUCUCACUACACGGCAUUCUCUCCUGAUGUUUAUCCAAAAUCUGCUUCAUUACAAUUUAUACCUAUCAGUUCUUAUCCUGAUAAUUGCAGUCCAUCAUCUUCUGUGCAUUCCUUCUUCCACAGAUUCGUUAUUCCACAUUCAUCUCUCAGCAAGCAGGUCUGAACCCCAUUUUACCACAGAAGUUCCACCUUCUCUAGGUAAGGGAGAACUUUCUUUAAGCAAAUUAUCCAUUGUAAAUACCAAGUCCUGGUUUAGCUAACUCUGCCGAAGGACGAUGUCUUGUGCAAAGACUGAAGACCUGCUCUUCUGGGAUACACUAGAACAGCGGUUCUCAACCUGUGGGUCGCGACCCCAUUUGGGGUCGAACGACCAUUUCACGGGGGUCGCCAAACAACGCGAUCUGCCAUUUUUUUUGUCAGCAUGCGCGUCACACAGGGGGUGACGUCGCACAUGCGCGCCACACAGGGGGCGCUGCCGCGCAUGCGCGCCACACGGGGCAGUGCAGGAGGUGCCGCCAUGCAGGGGCGGCGCAUGGGGGCAGCGCCGUGCAGGGGGGCGCUGUGCAUGCGCGCCGUGCAGGGGGGGCACCACGCAUGCACGCCGCACAGGGGGCGGCGCCACACAUGCGUGCCACGCAGGGGGCAGCGCUACGCAUGCGCGCCGCCUGCUUAUGACCGGGGUCGCCGUAUAAAAAGGUUGAGAACCAUUGCACUAGAAAUUUGGUUUGGCCAUUCUUGUGCUUCUGAAUAUUGCUCAGCAAACAUGCUUUUUCUGCAGAAACAAAGAUCGUCUGCCAGGCAAGAAUCUUAUCUUCCAGAAUACCAAACAACUGCUCAUCCAAAAAAUAAGGGACAUGGAGUUUCAGGCUGAAGUUAAUGUUGGGUUGCCCCAACAGGGCACUUGGGAACCAGCAAAAUAUCUAACAGCCGAUAUGUUAUGCCCAGCUAUCCUCAGCCUGGGAAAAGUUAAACAUACCAGCUGGGAAUUUCCAGGAAUUGAAAUCCACACAUCUCAAAAUUUCCAGGUUUAAGAAACUCUGUUCUAGAACAGGAGUGUUCAAACCUGGCAACUUUAAGAGUUGUGGACUUCAACUCCUCAAAUUCCUCAGCCACCAAUCUUCAAGUUAGCAAGUUUGGAGACUGCUUGUCUAAAAGAUUGUGGCUAACUUUUUGCCCACACAUCAUUCAGUAAAUUGCUAUGUAUUUCUUUCCUUGUAAAUAAUGGCACUAACAGGCUUAAUAAAGCACUUUUCUUAUGCCAAAGUUUUGAAUCUCAUUUUAUUUGAAAAAAAUAAAUAAAUAAAUGAAAAAGCACAGUAAAUUAAUCCAAACCUGCAGGGCUUGCCUGGGGCUCCUACUGAAAAAGAAAUAUAUUAUAGUAUGGGGCGAGAGGGGUGGGUGGGAAAGAUUCAAGCAUACAUAAUAAAUACAGUCAAUCAUUUUCAGAAAAGGACUAUGCCUGAGGGUGAGAUUUAGAUUUUAACAUAGAGUAUCAUGAGAAUCCUCCAUACAUAUAUUUAAAUAUAUAAUGGUAUAACUGAUGGUGUGAUAAGACUCCUAAACUAGGGUAAAGUAUGCUUCAAAAAUAUUCAGAGGGAGAGCAUAUCUCUGCAGAGCACAGCAGUUUUUCCUAUUCCUCAAAGCAGCUUCAAGAAGUGAAUUCAUCCCAUUAACGGGGUGACUAAAGGAGCUGUCUCUUCAGAAGCCUGCAAAGGGGGGCUGUUUUAAUGAACAGAAAAGAAGUGUGCUUGCCUGAGGCCCAAAGUAGUUCUUCUGAAUCAUUUUCACAGCAUACAAGGAUCUAUCCUAAAGAGGCAGAAAUUUAGGCUCAGUAUGUGGCCAAUGCCACACCUAGGGAGCGAAGGGAGAAAAAAACCCAGUACUUUUGAGUCAGCUGAAUCUGGGUUGGUACAUGAACUAUGCAAUCUAAGGCCACAAAGAAUUAUGGCAAUCGAUUGUUUGCUUUUUUUCCCAUCCAAGCUUGAAAUGAUCACCAGCUUUUCUCCCACCAAUUUAUACUUAAACUUGCUAUUUCAAACAUUCCAAUCAAAAUAUAUACCAUCUAAUGUGUAUAUGGCAUAUACAGGCCAAUAGACACUAGAGGAGGGGAGGAAAAUGGAAUGGAGAAUAGAAGUAAGAGACAAAAAAUCCAAAUAUUAUACUCUCCUAUUGCUGUUGAAAGCAAAGAACAGCACCUAAAAACAGCACCACGAACGUCCUUUAAUAAAGCAACUUCGCUUUCCGGUUCACACUGUCAUUUACUGACAGGGAGAAGUCAGGAACCGUGCAAAAUAAGAAUCACCGAUGAAAGGUCCAAUCCUGCACAAUUACACUUUCACCACUGAUAGUGGCCAACAUUUGUUUUAUUUUAUCGUCCAGGACACCACUUUUGUCAUCAACAUCUCCUUUCUACCUCAUUCAGCAUUCAUCCUAACAUCAUUUAAUCUGUUACCCAUUCAAAUUACAGUAUAAAACCAGAUCCUUCUGUAACUGAUGACAACAUAUGUACUGAUUUUCAGACUUCUUCAAGAAAAUAUACAAAUCAAGAUGCCUACUUGAAGGUUGGGUUCUUCACAUCUCCAGGGCUUAUUAAGGGCAGACUGAUGCUUACGUUUGAGGGUGUUUUGUCUUUAGAAAAAAAGGUACUUAGGAAAAAUCAACACGUAGGUCUCUACAGGGAAAAGAAUCAGCCUCAGGCCAAAAUUACAUGAUGCUAUUCAAACAUGUGGGCCCUUUUUGGUCUCAGCUGCUUUAAGUAGAAUGACUUUCCCAUUUCCAAGUGCUAUCAGUGAGUAAAAUGCAGGUGCUCAGAGCUGAACCAGGAUGAUUGUUAUUUUGUCUAGAAUUAUUCCCGGUAGAUAUUUUACCAAAAAGAAUCCAGGAAUGUUUUGCGUACUAAAGAGCAAGUGUGCAGUAUGGUUAUAGGAAAGCAGACCAGUGAAGAGAGAAUAAAAUCAUUGUUCUGAUAGGGUGAAGUUAUUUAGUCCUAAGGAGAAUGAAGUCAAACAGAUGAACCCUUAUUUAUGCUGAAUAAUGGAAGCAGCUAUUGCAAACAUUAUACUUUCAUAAUUUCCCUGUGUUAUACAGAAUACAUCUCCCCUUCUACCUUGCUCACUUGUAGAUGAGCAUAUCUACACAGAUGGCAACACUACCUUUCAUUUUCCUAUCUACAAGGGCUGUUCAAAGUUCUUGUAAGUGCAAAAUAAACACUUACGGUUUUCAGACAAUGUCUACACAUGCAACAGAAUAAAGUGGUAAAAGAGAAUGAGGAUAGCCGUGCCAUGAGUCUGAAGUGUCCACUCUCUCAGGACUCUCCUAUUUCAUUCUGUUAGAUAUUUUAGAUUCCAGCCUUUUAACCCUAAUAUACAAUUAAGUCUCUCUAUUGCCCAAAAGAGCAAGUAUAUGAGAGCAGAAUAAGAGCAGAUGCUAAAUAUAUCAUCUGGCAUAAACUCCCUAGUUAAAUCAAUACAAUUUAAGCUUUCAACUUACAAUAUACCAUGAUCUGAUAGUUUCAGUAGAAAAAAAAUGGCAUCAAAUGAGUUGCAACAAUUGCUAUCUUUAAAUAAGUACUGGAGAACUAUCCCCGGACCAGAUGAUGUAUAUCAGAUGCUUACCCUUUCAUGAGAAAAUGUCUAUCAAAGAAUAUGAUUUCUCCAAAGUCUCCAGUGACAGUUGGACAAAUUAUCUACUGUUCCUAGUUAAUGAACACUGUCAAAUUCAAGUGGUGGCUCAUUCAUUUUGUGCAGAUUGAGGGUUUAUUGCUAUUGGAGCAUGUUAAAGCCCUCCAUCAAGUGAAGGCAGGUGACUUCUUACUAAUGCUUGAUUUAAAAAAAAAA